GACGAACGCUGGCGGCAUGCCUAAUACAUGCAAGUUGAGCGCUGAAGGUUGGUACUUGUACCGACUGGAUGAGCAGCGAACGGGUGAGUAACGCGUGAGGAAUCUGCCUUUGAGCGGGGGACAACAUUUGGAAACGAAUGCUAAUACCGCAUAAAAACUUUAAACACAAGUUUUAAGUUUGAAAGAUGCAAUUGCAUCACUCAAAGAUGAUCCCGCGUUGUAUUAGCUAGUUGGUGAGGUAAAGGCUCACCAAGGCGAUGAUACAUGGCCAACCUGAGAGGGUGAUCGGCCACAUUGGGACUGAGACACGGCCCAAACUCCUACGGGAGGCAGCAGUAGGGAAUCUUCGGCAAUGGACGAAAGUCUGACCGAGCAACGCCGCGUGAGUGAAGAAGGUUUUCGGAUCGUAAAACUCUGUUGGUAGAGAAGAACGUUGGUGAGAGUGGAAAGCUCAUCAAGUGACGGUAACUACCCAGAAAGGGACGGCUAACUACGUGCCAGCCGCCGCUGUAA
rnacentral:rRNA from 1 species